rnacentral:rRNA from 1 species
CUACGGGGGGCAGCAGUGGGGAAUUUUGGACAAUGGGCGAAAGCCUGAUCCAGCAAUGCCGCGUGUGCGAAGAAGGCCUUCGGGUUGUAAAGCACUUUUGUCAGGGAAGAAAUCGUUUGGGUUAAUACCCCGAGCAGUUGACGGUACCUGAAGAAUAAGCACCGGCUAACUACGUGCCAGCAGCCGCGGUAAUACGUAGGGUGCAAGCGUUAAUCGGAAUUACUGGGCGUAAAGCGUGCGCAGGUGGUUUGUUAAGACAGUUGUGAAAUCCCCGGGCUUAACCUGGGAACUGCAAUUGUGACUGGCAGACUAGAGUGAGGCAGAGGGGGGCGGAAUUCCUGGUGUAGCAGUGAAAUGCGUAGAUAUCAGGAGGAACACCGAUGGCGAAGGCAGCCCCCUGGGCCAUCACUGACACUCAUGCACGAAAGCGUGGGGAGCAAACAGGAUUAGAUACCCCAGUAGUC